CCGACGGAGAGUUUGAUCCUGGCUCAGGACGAACGCUGGCGGCGUGCCUCAAACAUGCAAGUCGAGGGAGGGUUGCUCGGGGGCUUGCCCUCGGGUUCAACUCUACCGGCGAACGGGUGAGUAACACGUGGGUAACCUGCCCCGAAGACGGGGAUAACCUCGGGAAACCGGGGCUAAUACCCGAUACCCUCAUCGGGUCGCAUGACCGGGUGAGGAAAGGGUCCGCAAGGUCUGCUUCGGGAUGGGCCCGCGGCCUAUCAGCUAGUUGGUGGGGUAAUGGCCCACCAAGGCGAUGACGGGUAGCUGGCCUGAGAGGGUGGUCAGCCACACUGGGACUGAGACACGGCCCAGACUCCUACGGGAGGCAGCAGUUGGGAAUCUUGGGCAAUGGGCGCAAGCCUGACCCAGCGACGCCGCGUGGGGGAUGAAGGCCUUCGGGUUGUAAACCCCUGUCAGGAGGGAAGAAGCCCGCAAGGGUGACGGUACCUCCAGAGGAAGCCCCGGCUAACUACGU
rnacentral:rRNA from 1 species